CGACGCCGCGUGGGGGAUGAAGGCCUUCGGGUUGUAAACCCCUUUCACCAGGAGCGAAUCAAGACGGUACCUGGAAAAGAAGCGCCGGCUAACUACGUGC
rnacentral:rRNA from 1 species